rnacentral:rRNA from 1 species
AUUGAACGCUGGCGGCAUGCCUUACACAUGCAAGUCGAACGGCAGCACGGGUGCUUGCACCUGGUGGCGAGUGGCGAACGGGUGAGUAAUACAUCGGAACAUGUCCUGUAGUGGGGGACAGCCCGGCGAAAGCCGGAUUAAUACCGCAUACGAUCUACGGAUGAAAGCGGGGGACCUUCGGGCCUCGCGCUAUAGGGUUGGCCGAUGGCUGAUUAGCUAGUUGGUGGGGUAAAGGCCUACCAAGGCGACGAUCAGUAGCUGGUCUGAGAGGACGACCAGCCACACUGGGACUGAGACACGGCCCAGACUCCUACGGGAGGCAGCAGUGGGGAAUUUUGGACAAUGGGCGAAAGCCUGAUCCAGCAAUGCCGCGUGUGUGAAGAAGGCCUUCGGGUUGUAAAGCACUUUUGUCCGGAAAGAAAUCCUUGGCCCUAAUACGGUCGGGGGAUGACGGUACCGGAAGAAUAAGCACCGGCUAACUACGUG